rnacentral:rRNA from 1 species
AAAGGCGGCGCAAGCUGCCGCUUAUGGAUGGACCUGCGGUGCAUUAGCUAGUUGGUGAGGUAACGGCUCACCAAGGCAACGAUGCAUAGCCGACCUGAGAGGGUGAACGGCCACACUGGGACUGAGACACGGCCCAGACUCCUACGGGAGGCAGCAGUAGGGAAUCUUCCGCAAUGGACGAAAGUCUGACGGAGCAACGCCGCGUGAACGAUGAAGGUUUUCGGAUCGUAAAGUUCUGUUGUUAGGGAAGAACAAACUUCGUUUGAAUAAGGCGGAGUCAUGACGGUACCUAACGAGAAAGCCACGGCUAACUAC